CAGGUACUCCCUCCGUUCGGAAUUACUUGUCUCGGAAAUGGAUGUAUCUAGAACUAAAAUACAUCUAGAUACAUCCAUUUUCGAGACAAGUAAUUCUGAACGGAGGGAGUACAAA
rnacentral:pre_miRNA from 1 species